CUCCAGACUCCUACGGGAGGCAGCAGUGGGGGAUAUUGCACAAUGGGGGGAACCCUGAUGCAGCGACGCCGCGUGGGUGAAGAAGUAUUUCGGUAUGUAAAGCCCUAUCGGCAGGGAAGAAUUUAGACGGUACCUGACUAAGAAGCCCCGGCUAACUACGUGCCAGCAGCCGCGGGAAUACGUAGGGGGCAAGCGUUAUCCGGAUUUACUGGGUGUAAAGGGAGCGUAGACGGUCAGACAAGUCAGAAGUGAAAGCCCAGGGCUCAACCCUGGGACUGCUUUUGAAACUGCCGGGCUGGAGUGCAGGAGAGGUAAGCGGAAUUCCUAGUGUAGCGGUGAAAUGCGUAGAUAUUAGGAGGAACACCAGUGGCGAAGGCGGCUUACUGGACUGUAACUGACGUUGAGGCUCGAAAGCGUGGGGAGCAAACAGGAUUAGAUACCCUUGUAU
rnacentral:rRNA from 1 species